CAAGGAUUCAAAUCCCAGGAGUCCGGUGCUUGCAUAAAUGAAAGGAUGAAUGAACGGAUAUUGAGUGAGUGAGUGGAUGAAGGAAGGAGUAAAGGAGAGGGCAUGAAUGAAUGAGAGGGUAGAACUCCAAGACCCCUUAGAACCUCGUCUGAUGUUCCCAUUUUACAGACAGAAAACUGAGUCCUAGACAGAGGCCUAGAGGAGGCCAAGAGGUGGUGGGGCCAGGUCGGGGGGGCCCUGAUGC
rnacentral:lncRNA from 1 species